GAUGAACGCUGGCGGCGUGCCUAAUACAUGCAAGUCGAGCGAACAGAUGAGGAGUUUGUUCCCCUGACGUUAGCGGCGGACGGGUGAGUAACAUGUGGAUAACCUACCUAUAAGACUGGGAUAACCUCGGGAAACCGGUGCUAAUACCGGAUAAUAUAUUGAAUCGCAUGGUUCAAUAGUGAAAUACGGUUUUGCUGUCACUUAUAGAUGGAUCCGCGCCGCAUUAGCUAGUUGGUGAGGUAACGGCUUACCAAGGCUACGAUGCGUAGCCGACCUGAGAGGGUGAUCGGCCACACUGGAACUGAGACACGGUCCAGACUCCUACGGGAGGCAGCAGUAGGGAAUCUUCCGCAAUGGGCGAAAGCCUGACGGAGCAACACCGCGUGAAUGAUGAAGGUCUUCGGGUCGUAAAACUCUGUUGUUAGGGAAGAACAAAUGUGUAAGUAACUGUGCACAUCUUGACGGUACCUAAACAAUAAGCCACGGCUAACUACGUG
rnacentral:rRNA from 1 species